AAGUCGUAACAAGGUUUCCGUAGGUGAACCUGCGGAAGGAUCAUUACCACGUUCCAAACGUAUCAACCCUGUGCACCGUUACUCUCUCCCACCCUAGAGAAUGAGCUGGAAGGAUUCGGCGGGCGUGUGUGGAGCUCUUCGGAGCUGCAUACGUCGAGUCCAUACAUAGAGAAAUUUAUUUCUCUAGACAGCUGGAUUUCUAGGCUGGCUAAUCUGCCUGCUUUAGCUGCCGCACCGGCUAAAGCAUUGGCAGGAAUUAUAAAAUAAAACUAUAUUCACCGCUUUUGCUAGUUGCUUUACUUAGUUGCUUAUCGCUUUCGAGCUUUAAGCACACGUUUAAUUAUUUGAACGUUUAAAUACAACUCUUAGCAAUGGAUGUCUCGGUUCUC
rnacentral:misc_RNA from 1 species